CCUACGGGAGGCAGCAGUGGGGAAUAUUGGACAAUGGGGGGAACCCUGAUCCAGCCAUGCCGCGUGUGUGAAGAAGGCCCUCGGGUUGUAAAGCACUUUCAGUGAGGAAGAACGCCUGGUGGUUAAUACCCAUCAGGAAAGACAUCACUCACAGAAGAAGCACCGGCUAACUCCGUGCCAGCAGCCGCGGUAAUACGGAGGGUGCGAGCGUUAAUCGGAAUAACUGGGCGUAAAGCGCGCGUAGGUGGCUUGAUAAGCCGGUUGUGAAAGCCCCGGGCUCAACCUGGGAACGGCAUCCGGAACUGUCAAGCUAGAGUGCAGGAGAGGAAGGUAGAAUUCCCGGUGUAGCGGUGAAAUGCGUAGAGAUCGGGAGGAAUACCAGUGGCGAAGGCGGCCUUCUGGACUGACACUGACACUGAGGUGCGAAAGCGUGGGUAGCAAACAGGAUUAGAUACCCUGGUAGUC
rnacentral:rRNA from 1 species